UGCUGGAGGUAUCAGAAGUGCGAAUGCUGACAUAAGUAACGAUAAAGCGGGUGAAAAGCCCGCUCGCCGGAAGACCAAGGGUUCCUGUCCAACGUUAAUCGGGGCAGGGUGAGUCGACCCCUAAGGCGAGGCCGAAAGGCGUAGUCGAUGGGAAACAGGUUAAUAUUCCUGUACUUGGUGUUACUGCGAAGGGGGGACGGAGAAGGCUAUGUUGGCCGGGCGACGGUUGUCCCGGUUUAAGCGUGUAGGCUGGUUUUCCAGGCAAAUCCGGAAAAUCAAGGCUGAGGCGUGAUGACGAGGCACUACGGUGCUGAAGCAACAAAUGCCCUGCUUCCAGGAAAAGCCUCUAAGCAUCAGGUAACAUCAAAUCGUACCCCAAACCGACACAGGUGGUCAGGUAGAGAAUACCAAGGCGCUUGAGAGAACUCGGGUGAAGGAACUAGGCAAAAUGGUGCCGUAACUUCGGGAGAAGGCACGCUGAUAUGUAGGUGAAGUCCCUCGCGGAUGGAGCUGAAAUCAGUCGAAGAUACCAGCUGGCUGCAACUGUUUAUUAAAAACACAGCACUGUGCAAACACGAAAGUGGACGUAUACGGUGUGACGCCUGCCCGGUGCCGGAAGGUUAAUUGAUGGGGUCAGCGCAAGCGAAGCUCUUGAUCGAAGCCCCGGUAAACGGCGGCCGUAACUAUAACGGUCCUAAGGUAGCGAAAUUCCUUGUCGGGUAAGUUCCGACCUGCACGAAUGGCGUAAUGAUGGCCAGGCUGUCUCCACCCGAGACUCAGUGAAAUUGAACUCGCUGUGAAGAUGCAGUGUACCCGCGGCAAGACGGAAAGACCCCGUGAACCUUUACUAUAGCUUGACACUGAACAUUGAGCCUUGAUGUGUAGGAUAGGUGGGAGGCUUUGAAGUGUGGACGCCAGUCUGCAUGGAGCCGACCUUGAAAUACCACCCUUUAAUGUUUGAUGUUCUAACGUGGACCCGUGAUCCGGGUUGCGGACAGUGUCUGGUGGGUAGUUUGACUGGGGCGGUCUCCUCCUAAAGAGUAACGGAGGAGCACGAAGGUUGGCUAAUCCUGGUCGGACAUCAGGAGGUUAGUGCAAUGGCAUAAGCCAGCUUGACUGCGAGCGUGACGGCGCGAGCAGGUGCGAAAGCAGGUCAUAGUGAUCCGGUGGUUCUGAAUGGAAGGGCCAUCGCUC
rnacentral:rRNA from 1 species